rnacentral:rRNA from 1 species
UACGUAGGGAGCAAGCGUUGUCCGGAAUCAUUGGGCGUAAAGAGCGCGUAGGCGGUCCGGUAAGUCGGUUGUGAAAACUGGGGGCUCAACCCUCAGAGGCCGACCGAUACUGCCGGGCUAGAGUCCGGAAGAGGCGAGUGGAAUUCCAGGUGUAGCGGUGAAAUGCGUAGAUAUCUGGAGGAACACCGGUGGCGAAGGCGGCAUCCUGGACCAAUAUUGACGCUGAGGAGCGAAAGCUAGGGGAGCAAACGGG